UGGGGAAUUUUGGACAAUGGGGGCAACCCUGAUCCAGCCAUGCCGCGUGCGGGAAGAAGGCCUUCGGGUUGUAAACCGCUUUUAGUCGGGAAGAAAAGGCCAGGCCCAAUACGCCUGGUUCUUGACGGUACCGGCGGAAUAAGCACCGGCUAACUACGUGCCAGCAGCCGCGGUAAUACGUAGGGUGCGAGCGUUAAUCGGAAUUACUGGGCGUAAAGCGUGCGCAGGCGGUUCGACAAGUCCGAUGUGAAAGCCCCGGGCUCAACCUGGGAAUGGCAUUGGAAACUGGCGGGCUGGAGUGUGGCAGAGGGGGGUGGAAUUCCGCGUGUAGCAGUGAAAUGCGUAGAGAUGCGGAGGAACACCGAUGGCGAAGGCAGCCCCCUGGGCUGACACUGACGCUCAGGCACGAAAGCGUGGGGAGCAAACAGGAUUAGAUACCCUGGUAGUCCACGCCCUAAACGAUGAUACACUGGGUGUUCGGGGAGCGAUCUCUGAGUACCGUAGCUAACGC
rnacentral:rRNA from 1 species